UCCCUGGUGGUCUAGUGGUUAAGAUUCGGUGCUUCUGAUGCAGUGGGCGUGGGUUCGAUUCCUGAUUGGGGAA
rnacentral:tRNA from 1 species